CAUUGCUCAAAACCAAUUACAAAUAUAAACAACAUAUAGAGCCGGUCUUGAUUUGGCGACUCGUUCGGAGAAAUUCCCCUUUGUUCUUUGUCUAGAUCCAAGCAGGACUUGACAAUAGGGCGGAGGCGGUUGCGACGGCUCAAUGACGAGGAGGGCGGCGGCGUGAGCAGCGAGAGGAGGAGCGUGUGGGGCUGAAAGAAUUAGGCGGUAGCAUAGGUUGGAAAUUUCGUGCGGAGCAGGUAAGAUAAGAUUACCCAAUGUCCCAAUCUACAUAACUAAAAAAAAAAAGAACAGAUGCAUUUUAGUACUUGGAUCGAAAGACGUCUUCGGUUUUCUUCCCCACGCGACCUUUGCGAUGAAAAUAUGCGAGAAAAGCCUC
rnacentral:lncRNA from 1 species